GAGGAAAGAGGGAGGCGUGCCUAAUACAUGCAAGUCGAGCGAACAGACGAGGAGCUUGCUCCUCUGACGUUAGCGGCGGACGGGUGAGUAACACGUGGAUAACCUACCUAUAAGACUGGGAUAACUUCGGGAAACCGGAGCUAAUACCGGAUAAUAUAUUGAACCGCAUGGUUCAAUAGUGAAAGACGGUUUUGCUGUCACUUAUAGAUGGAUCCGCGCCGCAUUAGCUAGUUGGUAAGGUAACGGCUUACCAAGGCAACGAUGCGUAGCCGACCUGAGAGGGUGAUCGGCCACACUGGAACUGAGACACGGUCCAGACUCCUACGGGAGGCAGCAGUAGGGAAUCUUCCGCAAUGGGCGAAAGCCUGACGGAGCAACGCCGCGUGAGUGAUGAAGGUCUUCGGAUCGUAAAACUCUGUUAUUAGGGAAGAACAAAUGUGUAAGUAACUAUGCACGUCUUGACGGUACCUAAUCAGAAAGCCACGGCUAACUACGUG
rnacentral:rRNA from 1 species